GCAGGGGAUCGCAAGACCUUGUGCUUUUAGAGCGGCCGAUGCCUGAUUAGCUUGUUGGUGAGGUAAAAGCUUACCAAGGCUUCGAUCAGUAGCUGGUCUGAGAGGACGACCAGCCACACUGGGACUGAGACACGGCCCAGACUCCUACGGGAGGCAGCAGUGGGGAAUUUUGGACAAUGGGGGCAACCCUGAUCCAGCCAUGCCGCGUGAGUGAAGAAGGCCUUCGGGUUGUAAAGCUCUUUCAGUCGGAACGAAACGGUUACGGUUAAUACCCGUGACUACUGACGGUACCGGAAGAAGAAGCACCGGCUAACUACGUGCCAGCAGCCGCGGUAAUACGUAGGGUGCGAGCGUUAAUCGGAAUUACUGGGCGUAAAGCGUGCGCAGGUGGUAUUGUAAGUCAGAUGUGAAAUCCCCGGGCUUAACCUGGGAACUGCGUUUGAAACUACAAUACUAGAGUGUAGCAGAGGGGGGUGGAAUUCCGCGUGUAGCAGUGGAAUGCGUAGAGAUGUGGAGGAACACCGAUGGCGAAGGCAGCCCCCUGGGUUAACACUGACACUCAGGCACGAAAGCAUGGGGAGCAAACAGGAUUAGAUACCCUGGUAGUCCAUGCCCUAAACGAUGUCAACUAGUUGUCGGGCCUUUGCGGGCUUGGUAACGUAGCUAACGCGUGAAGUCGACCGCCUGGGGAGUACGAUCGCAAGAUUAAAACUCAAAGGAAUUGACGGGGACCCGCACAAGCGGUGGAUUAUGUGGAUUAAUUCGA
rnacentral:rRNA from 1 species